rnacentral:rRNA from 1 species
UACGAAGGGGGCUAGCGUUGCUCGGAAUCACUGGGCGUAAAGCGCACGUAGGCGGAUCGUUAAGUCAGGGUGAAUACCUGGAGCUCAACUCCAGAACUGCCUUUGAUACUGGCGACCUUGAGUUCGGGAGAGGUGAGUGGAACUGCGAGUGUAGAGGUGAAAUUCGUAGAUAUUCGCAAGAACACCAGUGGCGAAGGCGGCUCACUGGCCCGAUACUGACGCUGAGGUGCGAAAAGCGUGGGGAGCAAACAGG